rnacentral:lncRNA from 1 species
CUCCUCCGAGGCUGCGGUGAUUGGCCGGCCAGCGACCGCUCCCAUAAUGCAGCGCAGGGCGCGUCACUGAAAAGAGACCAUCCCAUCUGCGACGCUGCAGCCUUCAUGAGGGAGCGCUCGGCUGGAGAACGCGGCCGAGAUUGUGAUGGCACCACCCUUCGUGGUUGGAAGAAGACCUUCGUGAAAUCUUCACGUUCGCUGUUGAAGGUCUGCCGGAGUUCAUCAGGAGGGACAACCUCGGUGCUCAGAUGGCUUUGGUAUUUCAGCUUCACCUUGAGCUGCUGGUCAGCCUGGGCUUUGCUUUCUCAGCAAAAUCCCACAAGCCCAUUACAACUGUGUGUCCUUCUGGCUCCCUUCUGGGCAGGACGCCCAGCCGCUUGGAUUUGUAAUGAUGCAGGGCCUGGCCAGCCCGGAUCCUACCUUGUCUCACUCAAAGAACAUGACGUCUUAAAGGAACAUGGAGCGGCUCCUGUGAACUACUGUUCCUGGAAACACUAGUCGUCCCAUGGACAGCCCGUCUUGGAAAGCAUAUAGCUUUGUGUCCCCUGCCUGUAUAAGCAACCCCCUCCCUACGCCUGGUAGCGGGUGCACAUUUCCAUCCAGCUGGCCACCACUGGACAUCCGGAUAAGUAAUUCCCAGUAAACCUAUAUGUCUCGUUCCCCAUCUCUGGAUUUUUUCUUCAGUCUCUCUGUGACUUACCCCACACUGCUCACCCAACUGGUCUGUGGCCAGACAAUGCCAAUCAAGUCUCUAGCUCGAACUUUCUUCUUCCAAGUUUGGGCAGACGUUAUUUGGCUAUGUUUGAAUCUUCACAAAAUGUACUGUUAAAGCCAACAGAAUCCUGGUGGGUGACUAUUCUGGACAGCAAAGUUAUGAAGCUUUUUCUCACAGUAUGUGGAAAAAAAGAUUUAGAUAUGGCACAAGAUUCUUUGCAGUGCCUUGCCCAGUUUACUUCUCUUCAUGGACCUAUCUUCCGUCGUGAAGGAUCACAAAUUGAUUAACACACUUCAUUGAAAGAUUACUGAAUACUAUCAAUGAAAUGGAAAUAGAAGAUUCUGAAGUUGUGGGGAUCUCCAGCAUCAUCAGCAAUCUGUUAACAGUAUUUCCUUGAAAUGUUUAAUUGCCGUUCCAAAUGAACUUUUCUCCUCCUUUGUUAACUGCCACACACCUCACUUGUUCUUUUGGGUGAAGUGCUGCAUUGGAAGAAGUCUUGAUAAAGAUGACAUGGCAUAUACCUGGAAGCAUAUGGCAAAAUGCUGGAGUCCUGGCUAACUGCUCCAACAUGAUAAACAUUUCUAUAAAGACUUUUUUACCCAACAUGCUGUUCAAGUUUUCAGUUCUUUUAUUCAGUGCCACCUAGCUGCUCCAAAUGGCACAAGGAAUUUAACUGUCAAUGGUGUGGACUCUCGUGAGGAAGAAGAAAUAGGUGAAUGUCAAGAGGAUGAUCGAGGGCAGUUUUCAGAUCCACAGGCCAGUGAAGGAAUGCUAGGAAGAAUUGCUUCAGAACACUGUAUACCUCUUCUGACAAGAACCUGGUACCUGGUAGACGUUGGAUGUUUCCUUCUCCUGUUCUAGUGAUGAGGACACAAGUGGAAUGGUCAUUUCUUUCAGGGGGAAAAGAAACCCUCACUAAAAGAGAAUGCCGACAACAGUGCAUUUUGCAAAGCCUGAAUUAUUCAAUCUGGAGUGUCAUAGGACCAACUGGAGAAAGCCAACUAUGUACCCCUAAUUAAUCAUGAAGGAUACCCUGCUUCUGUUCAGCCUGCCUACAGUUUCUCCAUGCCGAUAGCCUACAGUCAGGGCAUACCUGAAGUUGCCUCUUUUCCCCACUGUAAAGCUUUCCCACUCCCUGCCUGCCUUUGAGGGUCUGCCAAACUCAAGGGUGGUGGCUGACUCCCUUGCUAUAGCAAUCUCUGAAUAAAUAGCCCAUGCUCCCUCUCA